UUUUUUUUGCAUUAUUAUUCUUGAUACACUUAAUUAGUACCUUAAUCAUCACCAUUUUGCAUGAAAACUCUAUUGAUUCAAAAUCAAGAGUUUAAAGUAUUUUUGAACCUCCAUGAGCAAAAGUGAUUAAAAAUGAUUUAAUUUUUGUGUAUUUAUUUUUAUUUAAAUUAUUAUUCUUGUUAUACUUAAUUAAUCACCAUUAUUUUGUAUGGAAACUCCAUUGAUUCAAAAUCAAGAGUUUAAAUUGUUC
rnacentral:lncRNA from 1 species